CAAAGUUUUGCGGGUGCUAUAAUGCAGUCGAGCGAACAGACGAGGAGCUUGCUCCUUUGACGUUAGCGGCGGACGGGUGAGUAACACGUGGGUAACCUACCUAUAAGACUGGGAUAACUUCGGGAAACCGGAGCUAAUACCGGAUAAUAUUUCGAACCGCAUGGUUCGAUAGUGAAAGAUGGCUCUGCUAUCACUUAUAGAUGGACCUGCGCCGUAUUAGCUAGUUGGUAAGGUAACGGCUUACCAAGGCAACGAUACGUAGCCGACCUGAGAGGGUGAUCGGCCACACUGGAACUGAGACACGGUCCAGACUCCUACGGGAGGCAGCAGUAGGGAAUCUUCCGCAAUGGGCGAAAGCCUGACGGAGCAACGCCGCGUGAGUGAUGAAGGUCUUCGGAUCGUAAAACUCUGUUAUUAGGGAAGAACAAACGUGUAAGUAACUGUGCACGUCUUGACGGUACCUAAUCAGAAAGCCACGGCUAACUACGUGCCAGCAGCCGCGGUAAUACGUAGGUGGCAAGCGUUAUCCGGAAUUAUUGGGCGUAAAGCGCGCGUAGGCGGUUUUUUAAGUCUGAUGUGAAAGCCCACGGCUCAACCGUGGAGGGUCAUUGGAAACUGGAAAACUUGAGUGCAGAAA
rnacentral:rRNA from 1 species